UGCUAGACAAUCUGAUGGAAGCAGAGCGGAGCUGAUGAAUAGCUUUUGUUUGUCGAAUUAAUAGAAUAACGCGACGUUGGCAGCGUGGCGGCGGUAAGACGAGGGGUGAGCGUGUUUGUUAUUUAUCAGUGGCCUUGACCGGAAUAAAUGAAGUGGAAAAAGAUCCAAAACUUAGACCUUGACAUUAUUUACGUCUAUUCGCAUUAACUACAACAUAUUCAUUUCCCCUUCCUCUACACUGCUCACCGGUUCUUUCUAAUCAUCAUUUACUAUUAGUGUAGGACACAGUUAAUCAGUGGUGGCCAAACCUGAGCACUCACCAUAAAUCAGGACCUGUUUUUUUUUUUCUUUCUUCUCAUAUGGCGCCAAAGAUUUGACUUUAUUCUGACAAAUUGCUUUUUAAUUCCAUUUUUUUUUGCUGCAGUUAACCAGACGUAUACCUUUUCCCUUCUCUUAUGAUUGCUGCAGCCAUCUGCUCCAUCGGAAGGAAUGGGCGCGGUAGAAAACGCGAGCCCGACUCCAAAGUGCACGUCAACUUUAACAGCGUACAGGAGUUCAGCAGAAAUAUUAAGACAUGGACGGCGGUGUUUGCUGUGUUGCUCCUCAGCUCAUUUGUCUCCAACAGGCUCCAUCAGAUCAACUGACAGCUGCUGCCUUUCCAGUGCUUUUUCAGUCACUACGGGCGAUUUGGAGCCACACCUGCGGCGUCGGCGUCGCCGUGGGGCCCGGCGGCGAGUGUCCACGGGUGGGGACGUCCUACCUUUUACCUGAGACGUGAAACGCGGCGUGUAAAGGUCCGGUCCGGGCGGGGGCGGGGCUUCGGGCUCCGGGGGGCGUGGCCGUGAAGCCCCUACCUGCUGCGUUAACCCCUUCAUCUCUACGACGGAUGGCCUCCAUCAGGUGAUAACGGGAGAGUCUUCGUUCCCAGCGCAGAGGCUGCAGGACGGGAGAGACAUUAACAACAAGGCGUGAAAGCGCAGAAGUCGGCACACUGGAUUCACUGUACUCCACUAUCUCCUCUUACUUGAGGCUUUGACGGGAUGUGGGCCACUGCGGAUUCCUUUGAAAUGCACCGUGGCCUAGUUCAAAGAUGUUACAGACCUUAGCUAAAUUCCGAGCGCCACACACACCAAAAAAAAAAACUUCAGCGGAGUCUGUUCAGCCACCCAUUCAUUCACUGGCUGCCUCUGUUAGCCUCUUAUGGGCAUAUGUGGAGCAUUCCCACCCAGCGGCUAAUCUCUAGCUCCCUGUGCUAGAUUUCCUGCUUGAAUGCACUGUAAUGACAUUUAUAUCAUUUUGCGAGUAGCCUACUAAUUUUUCCUCAUAAUUCCACCCACUCGCAAAUAUGCACAACAUUAUGCCGCAUGCGACAGAAACAUUGUGAUGAUUGCAGAAUAAAUUGUAAAUUGGCCGUCGUAGCUGUUCUGUACAGUGCUUGGCUGCCGCUCGGCCCGGUUAUCAUUAAUUUUCAUGUGGCGUAUGCUUUAAAUAUGAAUUCUCCCACAAAGCAUUUAAUCAACAGCGCAUGUGCCUGGAGUGCUUCUAGAGGCUGUAGAGGUGUUAAAUGAAUCACGGGUUGCAGCCGGUCCUCUGGUCCAGAGGCUCGCAAGGUCGCGUCUGUCUGAAAGGGCAGAGGGCUAAUAAACUACUCUCCCAAAUUACUUUCUCCAACUGUAAGAGUAAUGCGCACACAUUAUCAAAGGAUGUCAUUUUUUACAGCCCCCGGACCCGGGCGUUUCUCCCUCCUUUAAUUAAGAUUCGCUCAGAUUCCGGUCGGACUCGGAGUUAACGCGGACGGUUAACAGCUGUCUUUUGUUUCCUGCCAACCUGCAGAGAGGAUUUGACAAAGGGUCUCAUUUACUACCAGACGCAGCCACAUAGAAGCGCGUUUUAUAGAUAAUCACUAGAUUAUUAUGUGUUAUUGAAUUUGCUCUCGCUGCUGGGAAGAAAUCGAGAGUACAAAUAUUAUAACGUCCCCCCUGUGUGAUGUGACUAAACUUUGACUAAAUGUCAUUACCACAGUAUAUUAGGGAUCAGUAAAACUGCUUCCCCUUGAUGCACAUAAGCUUGUUUUAGCACCAGUGUCAGACUUUAAUCAGUCCUAGAAAUAAAUAGUCUUUUCUUAUAUAUGCUGAUCCUUUUCCAAGUCCUGAAUACUUUCCAGAUGUUCUUUCAUA